rnacentral:tRNA from 1 species
GCCAUUGAAGCUCAAAGGUUGAGCAUGGGUUUGAAAAACCCGGGGUUGUUCGUUCGAAUCGAAUCGAUGGC